rnacentral:sRNA from 1 species
CCUAGGUUAAUUCCACCAUCCCCAUCACAGCAGAAGUUUUCAAGAAGCACGGAGUGUACAACCCCAACAAGAUCUUCGGCGUGACGACCCUGGACAUCGUCAGAGCCAACACCUUUGUUGCAGAGCUGAAGGGUUUGGAUCCAGCUCGAGUCAACGUCCCUGUCAUUGGUGGCCAUGCCGGGAAGACCAUCAUCCCCCUGAUCUCUCAGUGCACCCCCAAGGUGGACUUUCCCCAGGACCAGCUGACAGCACUCACUGGGCGGAUCCAGGAGGCCGGCACGGAGGUGGUCAAGGCUAAAGCCGGAGCAGGCUCUGCCACCCUCUCCAUGGCGUAUGCCGGUGCCCGCUUCGUCUUCUCCCUUGUGGAUGCAAUGAAUGGAAAGGAAGGUGUUGUGGAAUGUUCCUUCGUUAAGUCACAGGAAACGGAAUGUACCUACUUCUCCACACCGCUGCUGCUUGGGGUACGUAUCCGGGCGUGGGUCCUUCUGACUGUGCAAGAAGGGGGCGUUCCUUCUGCUUAAGCCUCAGGAGCUCUCCCCGGCCCUUUGUGCAGUAAGCUCAUGUGCCUGCCUGGCGAGUGCUGUUGUUUUCAAGGGUGGACGCACACCCGAGAAAAAAGAGCUGGGAGGAUCAGACUGUGAAGGGUGAACCUCCCAGCAAGUGGGUCUCCUUCCCUGCA